AGACGUCUACAUUAGACUACCCGGUAGUCCCAGCCGUAAACUAUGCGCGUUAGGUGUAUCGGUGACCACGAGUUACCGAGGUGCCGAAGGGAAACCGUGAAACGUGCCGCCUGGGAAGUACGGUCGCAAGGCUGAAACUUAAAGGAAUUGGCGGGGAGCACCACAACAGGUGGAGCCUGCGGUUUAAUUGGACUCAACGCCGGGAAGCUCACCGGAUAGGACAGCAGAAUGAUUGCCGGGCUGAAGACUCUGCAUGACUAGCUG
rnacentral:rRNA from 1 species